GUGCAGCCUGUGGGUGUUGUGCGGCCUUCGGUUUUUCGCGAGUGGCAGCUUUCAAGCCUCGUUUGGAAGCGAGGAUACAUGCAAGCUGCGGUGAGCAGACUGUGUGCGAUGUUGUGGCGGAGGUAAUCGUGCACGCCGGGAUCCGUAACAAGUGGGUUCACUUCCCGUGGACGCCGGAUGAAAAGGCGGCCUUGAAUGUUUCCUACGGCUGCCGGCGUCAUCGGAUGCGUUGCCGUCAUCAUUGCACCGAAGGGUGACCAUCACAAGGCGGCAUUUUAUCCCCGCAAAGGACAUUAUGCCCACAUCGUCAUGCUAAUCUGCGACGCAGACAUCGGAAUCCUGCCGUGAACCACUGAGUCUGGGAUCAGACUACGACGCCCACGUCUGGCGGACAACGCGGCUGCGUGAGCGCAUCGAAGGGGCCCGGAUUGCCGCGGCCGUACCUUCUGGCUUCUAGGUGACAGAGGCUACAAACCAGGACCAUGG